GUCCUACAACUAAGGAUAUAAAGAAGAAGCCACAUUGAGACUGGUAAGAGGGGCAGAAAUGCAGAACAGACUGGUCCCACAUCCAUGUGUGGCAGAUAAAAAUUGGAAGGGGUAUCUCAACUAUGGACCCAGGAGUCCUAGCCCAACACUAGGCCCCCCAGCCCAGAGUUCCAGUACCAAGAAGAGAAGUCCCCAUAACUUCUGGCUCUAAAAACCAGCAGGGAUUGAGUAAGAGAGAGGGCUGCUGGAGUCCCAGGUGUUCCUCUUGAGGGUCCAGCACAUGGACUUACUCGGACUUACUACCUCUGAGCUCCAGCCCUGGGACAGCAGCUCAGAAGGCACCAAGGACAUACGAGAAGGAAGUGAAUUGUCUAAUGCCAGAGAGAGAACUGGAGGGGCAGUUUUGUCCCAGACAGAAGGGCUGGUAGAAGCCAUUGUUCCUUUUCUGAGCCCAACCCCCCACAGAGCAGGCAGGCAGGUGCCAUAUCUGAGUCCCCAUCAACCUGGCUAUCACUGUUCUCCCCACCCUGGUGACUCCCUGAGACCAUGCCCCACCCAACUUGCAGGUUCACCCAAGCUGUCUUCUGUGGCUUUUCCCUACAAGCUGCCUGUCUUGGUUGAUGCUUCAGACUUUCUUAAAAUCCCUCAAACAAGCAGAACCUGGCCUUGGUGUGCACCUUUCCUCUUUCUAAGUAGCCCCAUGCCUGAUAGCACCAUGCCCAGGACUAAUGGCAGCUGGCCUUGAUUUGUAGCUUGGCCUCUCCUGGGCAUCUUCAAGCCAUCUACAGAUUGCUCUGUAGCUCAUGCCAGCUGGCCCAGGGCAGAACACAGGUGGCAGCAGACCUUAGCCUGCACCUCCUAGGGGCCCCAGCAUACCCAGUGGACAGCCUCAGACCUCAUUGAAGCAUCACCCAACCAUCUCCACAAGUGAUACACUCAAGGGGCAAAUUCAGUGGGCACCGGAGCCCAACUAAGGUAAUCUCUUAAUCCUAAGAACUGGGAUUCGUGUGUGCCCUUUGGUCUAUAACCAAAAACGGAAGAGUCAGAAGCCAUCAUCGUGUUCAAGAAUGAUCAUCUUGGUAAAAUACUCUACCAGCCAAGCUUGCCCUCUUUCCCCCGGCAACUGCAUCCUUACGUGGCUAUUUCAGGAGCUGCCAUGCUCUCACCUGACCCAAGAGCUUGGUAUUUUUACCAGAGAAGAGGUACCGCCCAGACCCCCUUCAAGGAAGAACUUGCUGCCCAUCUGGGGAGCAGAACCAGCCAUCACCUUCCAGCUGUCAACAACUGGAAUCUGCCUCAGUGGCACAGAGGGGCACCUCUGAAAAUCAUCCCCUUCUUGAGGCAGUCCACAUGGGCUGACUGAGUAAAGUGGGCAUCGUUGUUGAAUGAUGGCUCCCAAAACAUAUGUUCAUGUCCUAACCCCCAGGACCUGUGACUGAGACCUUAUUUGGCAAAGGGGUCUUUGCAGGUGUAAUUAAGUUAAGGAUUUAGAGAGGAGAUCGUUUUUGGAUUUAGAAUGGGGUCUAAGUCCAGUGACAGGUGUCCUUGUGAGGAAAAGGCAGAGAGGCAGAGUUGAGACUCAGACACACAGAGGGGACGGCCAUGUGGAGACAGAAGCAGAGAGUGGAGUGAUGCCACCACAAGUCACAAAAGGCCUGGAGCCACCAGCAACUGAAAGGCAAGGAAGAAUCCUCCCCCCAAGAGCCUUCAAAGGGAGCACGGCCUGCUAACACCUUGAUGUUGGACUUCUGAUUCCCAGGACUGUAAUCAGUCAUGGCACAGAGGCAGAAGGCCAGCAUUUGGGCCACCGUGUCAUGUCCCUGAUGAGCUGUCCCUGCUCCAGAGUUCACUGCUGGGUCCUGAGGUCUGAAUCAUGUUCAACUUUUUCAUCUCCCCAGUCUUGCUUUCUUCCUUCCUCUUUUAAUAA